AACGAACGCUAGCGGCGUGGAUUAGGCAUGCAAGUCGAACGGGGUCCAUCCCUUCGGGGAGAAGACCUAGUGGCGAAAGGGUGAGUAAUGCAUCGAUCAUCUACCCUCGGGACGGGGACAACAGCUGGAAACGGCUGCUAAUACCCGAUAGUCCGGAGACGGUAAACGGUGGGGACCUUCGGGCCUGCCACCUGAGGAGGAGUCGAUGUCCUAUCAGCUUGUUGGCGGGGUAACGGCCCACCAAGGCGAAGACGGGUAGCCGGACUGAGAGGUUGACCGGCCACACUGGGACUGAGACACUGCCCAGACUCCUACGGGAGGCUGCAGUCGAGAAUCUUCCGCAAUGGGCGAAAGCCUGACGGAGCGACGCCGCGUGCAGGAUGAAGGCCCUCGGGUUGUAAACUGCUGUCAGGUAUUAAGAACCCGUACAGGUUAAUACCCUGUGCUCUGACAAAGGUACCAAAGGAAGCCACGGCUAACUUCG
rnacentral:rRNA from 1 species